rfam:Camelus ferus unplaced genomic scaffold scaffold589, whole genome shotgun sequence.
GAGGGUAUAGCUCAGUGGUAGAGCACAUGCGUGCUUAUUAGCAUGCAUGAAGUCCUGAGUUCAAACUCCAGCACCUCCU